GCAAUCAGCAAGAGGAUUUUUAUUGAUCAGGAUACACAGGUAUCUGUGGGCGUCCCAGUCAAUUCGGAAGACUGGCGCGCCUAGCAGAGCCAGGGUGGGCUUUUUAUAGUAUUUUGGGGAGCAGAAGAAGGCUUACAGAAGCAGAUGCAUGGUUACAGGGAUGUGAUUGGUGGAGUAAAUGAGGCAUACGUGUAUGUUACUUAUUUUGGCUAUAAUCAUAACAAUGAGUUAGCAAAAAGUACAUGGUGGUCAGGGCUUCCGGGGGGUCAGGGACUUUUUCUUUUUCCUGCCAGGUGGCCCAUGGAGCAGUGCCCAUAAUUUAGUUUGGUUUCUGCAUUUUGUUUUCUUUUCUGGUCUGUUUCGUCUAAAUGAUGGGUCAGCUUGUCCCACAUAUCUAAAAACUUACUUUUUACUUCUAUAGUUGAGGGCCUUGUGCUUGUACAAUUCCCUUUCUGGGAGAGGGUCUUUCAUUCCCCCAUUUUCUUUUUGUCCUUGAGUGGAAUCUUCCACUCAACUUGGUUAAGGUACCUCUGUUUUUUGUUGUUUCACCAUCUGAUACUGUUGUCUCAGCACAAAAGUUUGAAUGACUGAAAGUCUGUAUCUCUUAUUAUUCCUGUUUGAUCUGCAUAGAAACAACAUUCUUCUUUUAGUGUAGCACACAGACUCUUUCUUUAAGGAAUAUCAGGUCUAAUCUUUUCCUAUUUUGAAGGACUACCUCUGAGAGGGAGGUUAGGUGUUCUUGGAGGUCAGCUAAAAAGUCUUUUUUACUCUUUUUAUAUCUGAGUCAAUGGCAGUUCUGAAUUCUCUAUAAGCCUUGCAUUGUAGGGCAACAGCAGAUGUCCUUGUGCUGCCCUUGUAGCACCUAGAUAGCCUUAAAUAAUUCUCAACUCUCUUUUGUGUCUUAUUAAGUCUUUAGCAUCAGGAUUCUAAUCUGGACACUAUCUGAACCUAUACACCAAGGUCUUUUAGAACUUCUAAACUUAUAUAGAUUGUGAUCCCUGAGGAACAGUCCCAAGAAGUGUUAGGAGUACUAACAUAUGUAAUGUUACAUCAUUUGCAAUAAAAAAUCAAGCCUAUCUUUACACCUAUUCCGAGGGAACCCAGGGCAAACAGGCAAACAUGAAAUUCUUGUUUCUAAAACACACUCCUCAAGUGAGCAUUAUAGCAACCUCCCAGUCACUUAAGUCUAGGGAGCUUUUUGAAGAUCUGAGUGUCCCUCUAGGUCCCAGCUCUCAGCCCCAACAGCUAGUACGCUGCUGGUGAGGGCUGAGACUUGACGGCUGUCAGGGUGGUCAGCAGCACCAGGUACGGUCCUUUCCAGCGAGGCUCGAGUGUCUGGGCUCCGUGUCGUUG
rnacentral:lncRNA from 1 species